AUUGAACGCUGGCGGCAUGCUUUACACAUGCAAGUCGAACGGCAGCGCGGGCUUCGGCCUGGCGGCGAGUGGCGAACGGGUGAGUAAUGCAUCGGAACGUGCCCAGUAGUGGGGGAUAGCCCGGCGAAAGCCGGAUUAAUACCGCAUACGACCUGAGGGUGAAAGCGGGGGACCGAAAGGCCUCGCGCUAUUGAAGCGGCCGAUGUCGGAUUAGCUAGUUGGUGGGGUAAAGGCUUACCAAGGCGACGAUCCGUAGCUGGUCUGAGAGGACGACCAGCCACACUGGGACUGAGACACGGCCCAGACUCCUACGGGAGGCAGCAGUGGGGAAUUUUGGACAAUGGGGGCAACCCUGAUCCAGCCAUGCCGCGUGCGGGAAGAAGGCCUUCGGGUUGUAAACCGCUUUUGUUCGGGAAGAAAUCCUCUGGGCUAAUACCCCGGGGGGAUGACGGUACCGGAAGAAUAAGCACCGGCUAACUACGUG
rnacentral:rRNA from 1 species